CUGCUGCCACAUAUCCAACCAUCAGGAAUGAGGAGCAAUGGAGUUCUUCAUACGGUACAACCCCUUGAGGAAACCAACCACCUACUUGGUGGCUAAAUGAUUAUAUCAGACCCCUUCAUGCUGUAAAGAGCAACAAUUCAUCCUGGGCAUAUUUAUCAUAACCUGAGGAGCCUCUGAUAUAGUCAGGGUUAUAGUUUGUUCUAGAAACUCUCCUCUUACAAGUAACCAGAAACUGCACCAGUCAGAAUCCUGGAAGACCUGCAACCAGAUGGAGUCACAUGGACAUAGGAAGAAUCAGCUCUGAGUGGUACAAAUGAGGCUUGCAUUUGGCUGAAGGAAACUGCCUAAGUCACACAUGGCUGGGAUAUUAAACCACUUCCCACCCAAGUGUACAGAGGCCUCUGUCCAGCCACCACCAACAUUUCUCAGCCUGUUUUGCAAUAGAGGGGCCACAGGAAUAGUUCUCAGCAAUGGAAUGGGAGACAAGGUAAGACACAUUCUCUCAAGACCAAGAUUAAGAAGCCUUUUCUACUUGUUCUUUUCCUCUUUCUGCACAUAGAUGACCCUAUAGUAGGGAGGCCAUCAGAUAAAAAGAGUCUGGGUUUCAGAGUUACCUUGGGAAAGAUGGCCACCAAUCAGUAACUCUUGUAUUAUUAAACGAGUGAGAAGUAAACUUUGAGUGUGUUUGGCAUUAAA
rnacentral:lncRNA from 1 species